rnacentral:misc_RNA from 1 species
GUCACCAGGCCACCAUCAUUGCCGCCAUCGCGCCGCCCGGCCGCGGGAGCCCAGCUACGCAUUCAUAACUGUUUCUCUCUUGGCUUCUCGGCGAAGUGUUGCGGUUGCGGGUACUGGAGUGCGGAGAGCAGCGCGGCGCGAGGGAGGAAGCCACCACCCACCACCACCUCCAUUAAAGGCGCUCACGCGCCGCCUCCGCCUCCGCCUCCGCCUCCACGAGAGAGCUAGGCGAGAGGGGCGUACGAGACCUCAGCUGACUCCUGUCGUCAAGGCCAUCGAUCUCUCCCCUCACGGGGGCAGCCACGUACAAAGGCAGGCAGCUCGCCAACGCCCAGCACCCUCUCGCCGCGCCACCCCACGCCGUGCGCCUUUAAAGAGAGCGCACGACAAGCUUAAAGCUGCAGAGGUGACAGAGUGCCGAGCCGUCGCGCGCGCGAAAGCAGAGGAGCGGCAAUGGCAGUGGCCGCGCGGCUCGGCGCCGUCGUGGCGUGCGUCAUCUUAGCGGCCGUGGCGGUGGCGCCGCGGCCGGUGGCGGGGAUCCUCGACCCGGUCGACUUCCUCGCGCUGCAGGCGGUGCGGCGGUCGCUGGACGACAUGCCCGGGUCCGCGUUCUUCGACGGGUGGGACUUCACCGCCGACCCGUGCGGGUUCCCCGGUGUGUUCUGCGACGGGGACCGGGUGGUGGCGCUCGCGCUUGGCGACCCGCGGGCGGGGUCUCCGGGGCUGACGGGGAGGCUGGAC